rnacentral:rRNA from 1 species
GACAGAGGGUGCAAACGUUGUUCGGAUUUACUGGGCGUAAAGCGCGUGUAGGCGGCUUGGCAAGUUGGAUGUGAAAGCCCACGGCUCAACCGUGGAAGCGCAUCCAAAACUGCUUCGCUCGAGUCUCGGAGAGGAAGGUGGAAUGCUUGGUGUAGAGGUGAAAUUCGUAGAUAUCAAGCAGAACACCUGCGGCGAAGGCGGCCCUUCUGGACGAUGACUGACGCUGAGACGCGAAAGCGUGGGGAGCAAACAGG